GCGCGUAAAUUGCCCGAAUCCUGACACAGGGAGGUAGUGACAAGAAAUAACAAUACAGGGCUUCUAAAGUCUUGUAAUUGGAAUGAGUACAAUUUACAUCUCUUCACGAGGAUCAAUUGGAGGGCAAGUCUGGUGCCAGCAGCCGCGGUAAUUCCAGCUCCAAUAGCGUAUAUUAAAGUUGUUGCAGUUAGAACGCUCGUAGUCGGAUUUCGGGGCGGGUCGACCGGUCUGCCGAUGGGUACGCACUGGCCGACGCGUCCUUCCUUCCGGAGACCGUCUCACUCUCAACUGAGCGGGGUCGGAAGACGGAUCGUUUACUUUGAAAAAAUCAGAGUGUUUCAAGCAGGCAGCUCGCUCUUGCAUGGAUUAGCAUGGGAUAAUGAAAUAGGACUUUGGUGCUAUUUUGUUGGUUUCGAACACCGAAGUAAUGAUGAGAAGGGACAGUCAGGGGCACUCGUAUUCC
rnacentral:rRNA from 1 species